rnacentral:rRNA from 1 species
AUUGAACGCUGGCGGCAGGCCUAACACAUGCAAGUCGAACGAGUGGCGGACGGGUGAGUAAUGUCUGGGAAACUGCCCGAUGGAGGGGGAUAACUACUGGAAACGGUAGCUAAUACCGCAUACCAUCGGAUGUGCCCAGAUGGGAUUAGCUUGUAGGUGAGGUAACGGCUCACCUAGGCGACGAUCCCUAGCUGGUCUGCGAGGAUGACCAGCAACACGGGAACUGAGACACGGUCCGAACUCCUACGGGAGGCAGCAGGGGGGAAUAUUGCACAUGGGGGGGAAGCCUGAUGCAGACCUGCGGGGUGGAUGAAGAAGGCCUGCGGGUUGUAAAUUACUUUCAGCGGGGAGGCGGUACCCGCAGAAGAAGCACCGGAUAACUCCGUGCCAGCAGCCGCGGUAAUAC